UGUGACCUUUUGUGACGCAGCUUGCUUGCAGAACGGACCGGAGAGUAGAGGAGAUUAGCAGAAGAAUUGACAAAUCAACACUUUUCUAGAGAGUGAUUUAAGACUUGAGAAAUAAUACCUGUGUGGUUGGUGAUUCACAAGAGCAAUAUCUAAUCAAACUACAACGGUUUUGGUCAGGUUUUUUUUGAGCUAUUGUUCCCGUUUGAAGUUAAAAGCAGAGGAGUUGCUUCUGUGGAGUGAGCGUGUGUGCGAGGAGACUGCAUACACGCCCAGGACACAAGAUGGCGAGCCAAACCCGCGGACUCAUUUUCUAGAGACUGUUUAUCUUCAUCGUGCUAGUGAGGCGAUCCACCGCACGAGGAUGGACUGUCGGUAAACCCUGCCAGAGCGCACUCUACAUUGAAUGAUGGGCCUGUAUCAUCAAGCAGUCUUCCAGCAUCACUAGACCCAUCUGAAAAAGAACUCCUUGUGACAUUAAGGCGAGUAAACAUAGUUGAUGAUGUCCUCAAUGUCUUUAUGGAACCUAAGAUACUGAAUGCACAUCUAAAAAUGGAAUUCACAAAAGAGAAAGCUGUGGACAGUGAUGGGGUAUCAAGAGAGGCAUUUUCCGCAGUCUAGGAAAAUUUCUUGGAACAGUGUGAGGGGGAAGAUGAACGAGUGCUCUUCGAAGAGUGUGGUUGAAAGGAAACCUGGACCACAAAAUCAUACCAGUCAGACUGUCACCCGCUUUUGUUCUUGCCUGUUGUCAAGGACUUAGUUCAGUGGAUAAAGAGCUGUUGAUUAUGUCAUUUGCCAGAUUUAUUUCACAGAACUAGCGUGCAUCACUUGAAAAAUCACUGCAGGGCAACAUUGAUGAAACUGUUGAGGAGGACUUACUUGACGUUUUUUCAAGAAUGGGCUCACACUGCAUGCCCUCUAGAGACAACUUGCAGGCAGCCAUUUUGACAAUGGCCCGCAAAGCUCUUCUUCAAGAGCAAGUUCAUAAUUGACUGUUUCCACAACAUUAUUCACAAUUCUGUGCCAACACUCAUAACCAAAGACAGCAUAAUGGGGCUUUAUGAAUCUAAGAGGCCAACUAACAAAAAAGUGGUCCAGGUGAUAAAGCCAUCAACUGAAAGCCUAAAUCCACAAGAGCAGACAGCUCUUAACCACCUGCUACGGUAUGUGAGAAACAUUGACCAAAGAAAGCUGGAGAUGUUCUUACGCUUCUGCACAGGAUCCACUGUGCUUUGCAAAGACACAAUUGAAGUAACUUUUAAUACAUUAUGUGGAUUAAGUCACAGACCUGUAGCACACACAUGUGGAGCAGUUGUUGAGUUACAAUGCACCUACCGCUCAUACCCUGAAUUCGUUAAGAGUUUGACCAUUUCUUGUCUGGUGACUGCUUUACAAUGGAUAUUGUGUAGUGAAUGUAAGGAACCUUACACAUGUCCCUCUUCUUCUGAGGUUGUUUUGGCAUUUGUCUGAAGCAAACUGUUUCUACAGCAAAUGGCUACUCAUGGCUGUUUUUGUUGGAGUCUCAUGUGGUAAACAUACAGACAGUUACUUUCAACAGCAGA